CAAGCCAAGUGAGUAAUCAGAGUCCAAGGCUCCUGCUAUCGCUGACUGCCUGGCAACAGCUGGCAGAUGAGCCAUUGACCUUUGCUGCCCUAGGUCCACAACCUCUAGCUGGGGUGCUCCAUCGGGUGACAUACCUGAUCCUGCCACAAGAAGAGCAAUUACAUCCACCUCCACCGGACUGUGGCUGUGAAUGAAACAGUAACAUUUGAUCUAUUGAAUCCAAAAAGGGCAUGGAAGCAGAUCCAGUAGAGAUAUGUCAUUCAAUUUGAAGCUCAGUUUUCAUCAGUCAGCAUUUGGGGUUUCGUGUCUGAUGGUGCAGCAGUGGCAAGAGGAGGCAAGAGGCAGGAGGCUGCAACAGCAGCUGAGAACCACAGCUUGAACUGCAAGCCUGAGGCAGACAGGUGACCUUCCGAGAAGGAUAUCAGAAACACCGGGGAAAAAGAAUG